UAACAACAGUGCCAACAAUCAGAUGUAAUGCUGGUGCCACAACCAGAGGUUGGGACAAUAAAAUCAAGAGAUAAUCAAAGAAUGCCUUUGGUGUUUUGUGGAGACUGCAAAAUCACCAUCUGCUCAAGAAGAAACAGAAUAAAGAAGCAACUUGGAUGCUUUGGAAUUCAGGAGGUGCCUGGACUACUGAGUUGUGAAAUUAAAGCAAUGCCACGGUGAACAAGGAGAAAAGCACGCUUUUACACUUGUAAUGUGAAGAUCAGAUGUGUUGUUUGCAUUGUAUAUGGGUGGGAAAUAUGAAUAAUGAAAUAAAUCCACACUUCUACCAGUA